rnacentral:rRNA from 1 species
GACAGAGGUGCCGAGCGUUAGGCGGAAUCACUGGGCUUAAAGCGUGUGUAGGCGGGCGGGCAAGUACCUUGUGAAAUCCCACGGCUCAACCGUGGAACGGCUGGGUAUACUGCCUGUCUUGAGCCAACUAGGGGCGAGCGGAACAGACGGUGGAGCGGUGAAAUGCGUAGAUAUCGUCUGGAACGCCAAAGGUGAAAACAGCUCGCUGGGGUUGUGCUGACGCUGAGACACGAAAGCCAGGGGAGCAAACGGG